rnacentral:rRNA from 1 species
GACAGAGGUGCCAAGCGUUAGGCGGAAUCACUGGGCUUAAAGCGUGUGUAGGCGGAUUGGUAAGUACCUUGUGAAAUCCCACGGCUCAACCGUGGAACUGCUGGGUAUACUGGCGAUCUUGAGCCACCUAGGGGCGAGCGGAACAAACGGUGGAGCGGUGAAAUGCGUAGAUAUCAGGAGGAACACCGGUGGCGAAGGCGGAUCUCUGGGCCUUACCUGACGCUCAGGCGCGAAAGCUAGGGGAGCGAACUGG